UCUCAAGACAAAACCUCAAAAUCCCUUCAAAAAAAUAGCAGAUGAACGGUCGUUCAGAAAGAGAUACUGAAAAUACAAUAUUCGGUACCAAUCAAUGAUUCGACAAUCCCUAAAGACUACCAGCAAAAGUUCCGGUAGAAAUUCGAUUAUCCGACCGACCGAGUACUUCUUCUUCGUCUUCUUGUUGAAGUGUUGUGUUGAGGGAAAACUACAAUACUGAAGAUACUUCGUGGGAAGCAUAUGGUGGAGCCGGAUAUGGUGAAGGUGCUAGGAAAAUCUACAUUUCAUGACACCGCAUUGACGAUUUCCGGUUUCCUUUCUGGUGACCUCUGUCAUCUUGGAUUAGACUAUUUCGUGAAAUUAUCUUUUGGUUUUAGUUUUGAUUUUGGAAAUUUUAUGCAUACUUGUUGAGUGAUCUUUAUAUGAUUGCAAAAUAGAAGGCAAUUUUUACUUUUGGGAAGUUUCCUUUAAGUUGCCACUAAUUGGAAUGGUAAUUUUUUACAUUUUAGAAGGAAAGUAGAAUGGGAUGGUAACACUACCCGUUCGUAAUUGAUUUUGAGUUCUGGGAAAUUAUAUUUGCAGCUAUCUGAAAUUCUGUUCAUGA